rnacentral:rRNA from 1 species
GACGAACGCUGGCGGCGUGCUUAACACAUGCAAGUCGAACGGAAAGGCCCUGCUUUUGUGGGGUGCUCGAGUGGCGAACGGGUGAGUAACACGUGAGUAACCUGCCCUUGACUUUGGGAUAACUUCAGGAAACUGGGGCUAAUACCGGAUAGGAGCUCCUGCUGCAUGGUGGGGGUUGGAAAGUUUCGGCGGUUGGGGAUGGACUCGCGGCUUAUCAGCUUGUUGGUGGGGUAGUGGCUUACCAAGGCUUUGACGGGUAGCCGGCCUGAGAGGGUGACCGGCCACAUUGGGACUGGGAUACGGCCCAGACUCCUACGGGAGGCAGCAGUGGGGAAUAUUGCACAAUGGGCGGAAGCCUGAUGCAGCAACGCCGCGUGCGGGAUGACGGCCUUCGGGUUGUAAACCGCUUUCGCCUGUGACGAAGCGUGAGUGACGGUAAUGGGUAAAGAAGCACCAGCUAACUACGUG